GAUGAAAGCGGGGGAGCCUUCGGGGCCUCGCGCUAUAGGGUUGGCCGAUGGCUGAUUAGCUAGUUGGUGGGGUAAAGGCCUACCAAGGCGACGAUCAGUAGCUGGUCUGAGAGGACGACCAGCCACACUGGGACUGAGACACGGCCCAGACUCCUACGGGAGGCAGCAGUGGGGAAUUUUGGGCAAUGGGCGAAAGCCUGAUCCAGCAAUGCCGCGUGUAUGAGGAAGGCCUUCGGGUUGUAAAGCACUUUUGUCCGGAAAGAAAUCCUCUUGGCUAAUACCCCGGGGGGAUGACGGUACCGGAGGAAUAAGCACCGGCUAACUACGUGCCAGCAGCCGCGGUAAU
rnacentral:rRNA from 1 species